rnacentral:rRNA from 1 species
GGGUUGUGAGGUUAAGCGACUAAGCGUACACGGUGGAUGCCCUGGCAGUCAGAGGCGAUGAAGGACGUGCUAAUCUGCGAUAAGCGUCGGUAAGGUGAUAUGAACCGUUAUAACCGGCGAUUUCCGAAUGGGGAAACCCAGUGUGUUUCGACACACUAUCAUUAACUGAAUCCAUAGGUUAAUGAGGCGAACCGGGGGAACUGAAACAUCUAAGUACCCCGAGGAAAAGAAAUCAACCGAGAUUCCCCCAGUAGCGGCGAGCGAACGGGGAGCAGCCCAGAGCCUGAAUCAGUGUGUGUGUUAGUGGAAGCGUCUGGAAAGGCGCGCGAUACAGGGUGACAGCCCCGUACACAAAAAUGCACAUGCUGUGAGCUCGAUGAGUAGGGCGGGACACGUGGUAUCCUGUCUGAAUAUGGGGGGACCAUCCUCCAAGGCUAAAUACUCCUGACUGACCGAUAGUGAACCAGUACCGUGAGGGAAAGGCGAAAAGAACCCCGGCGAGGGGAGUGAAAAAGAACCUGAAACCGUGUACGUACAAGCAGUGGGAGCACGCUUAGGCGUGUGACUGCGUACCUUUUGUAUAAUGGGUCAGCGACUUAUAUUCUGUAGCAAGGUUAACCGAAUAGGGGAGCCGAAGGGAAACCGAGUCUUAACUGGGCGUUAAGUUGCAGGGUAUAGACCCGAAACCCGGUGAUCUAGCCAUGGGCAGGUUGAAGGUUGGGUAACACUAACUGGAGGACCGAACCGACUAAUGUUGAAAAAUUAGCGGAUGACUUGUGGCUGGGGGUGAAAGGCCAAUCAAACCGGGAGAUAGCUGGUUCUCCCCGAAAGCUAUUUAGGUAGCGCCUCGUGAAUUCAUCUCCGGGGGUAGAGCACUGUUUCGGCAAGGGGGUCAUCCCGACUUACCAACCCGAUGCAAACUGCGAAUACCGGAGAAUGUUAUCACGGGAGACACACGGCGGGUGCUAACGUCCGUCGUGAAGAGGGAAACAACCCAGACCGCCAGCUAAGGUCCCAAAGUCAUGGUUAAGUGGGAAACGAUGUGGGAAGGCCCAGACAGCCAGGAUGUUGGCUUAGAAGCAGCCAUCAUUUAAAGAAAGCGUAAUAGCUCACUGGUCGAGUCGGCCUGCGCGGAAGAUGUAACGGGGCUAAACCAUGCACCGAAGCUGCGGCAGCGACGCUUAUGCGUUGUUGGGUAGGGGAGCGUUCUGUAAGCCUGUGAAGGUGUACUGUGAGGUAUGCUGGAGGUAUCAGAAGUGCGAAUGCUGACAUAAGUAACGAUAAAGCGGGUGAAAAGCCCGCUCGCCGGAAGACCAAGGGUUCCUGUCCAACGUUAAUCGGGGCAGGGUGAGUCGACCCCUAAGGCGAGGCCGAAAGGCGUAGUCGAUGGGAAACAGGUUAAUAUUCCUGUACUUGGUGUUACUGCGAAGGGGGGACGGAGAAGGCUAUGUUGGCCGGGCGACGGUUGUCCCGGUUUAAGCGUGUAGGCUGGUUUUCCAGGCAAAUCCGGAAAAUCAAGGCUGAGGCGUGAUGACGAGGCACUACGGUGCUGAAGCAACAAAUGCCCUGCUUCCAGGAAAAGCCUCUAAGCAUCAGGUAACAUCAAAUCGUACCCCAAACCGACACAGGUGGUCAGGUAGAGAAUACCAAGGCGCUUGAGAGAACUCGGGUGAAGGAACUAGGCAAAAUGGUGCCGUAACUUCGGGAGAAGGCACGCUGAUAUGUAGGUGAAGUCCCUUGCGGAUGGAGCUGAAAUCAGUCGAAGAUACCAGCUGGCUGCAACUGUUUAUUAAAAACACAGCACUGUGCAAACACGAAAGUGGACGUAUACGGUGUGACGCCUGCCCGGUGCCGGAAGGUUAAUUGAUGGGGUCAGCGCAAGCGAAGCUCUUGAUCGAAGCCCCGGUAAACGGCGGCCGUAACUAUAACGGUCCUAAGGUAGCGAAAUUCCUUGUCGGGUAAGUUCCGACCUGCACGAAUGGCGUAAUGAUGGCCAGGCUGUCUCCACCCGAGACUCAGUGAAAUUGAACUCGCUGUGAAGAUGCAGUGUACCCGCGGCAAGACGGAAAGACCCCGUGAACCUUUACUAUAGCUUGACACUGAACAUUGAGCCUUGAUGUGUAGGAUAGGUGGGAGGCUUUGAAGUGUGGACGCCAGUCUGCAUGGAGCCGACCUUGAAAUACCACCCUUUAAUGUUUGAUGUUCUAACGUGGACCCGUGAUCCGGGUUGCGGACAGUGUCUGGUGGGUAGUUUGACUGGGGCGGUCUCCUCCUAAAGAGUAACGGAGGAGCACGAAGGUUGGCUAAUCCUGGUCGGACAUCAGGAGGUUAGUGCAAUGGCAUAAGCCAGCUUGACUGCGAGCGUGACGGCGCGAGCAGGUGCGAAAGCAGGUCAUAGUGAUCCGGUGGUUCUGAAUGGAAGGGCCAUCGCUCAACGGAUAAAAGGUACUCCGGGGAUAACAGGCUGAUACCGCCCAAGAGUUCAUAUCGACGGCGGUGUUUGGCACCUCGAUGUCGGCUCAUCACAUCCUGGGGCUGAAGUAGGUCCCAAGGGUAUGGCUGUUCGCCAUUUAAAGUGGUACGCGAGCUGGGUUUAGAACGUCGUGAGACAGUUCGGUCCCUAUCUGCCGUGGGCGCUGGAGAACUGAGGGGGGCUGCUCCUAGUACGAGAGGACCGGAGUGGACGCAUCACUGGUGUUCGGGUUGUCAUGCCAAUGGCACUGCCCGGUAGCUAAAUGCGGAAGAGAUAAGUGCUGAAAGCAUCUAAGCACGAAACUUGCCCCGAGAUGAGUUCUCCCUGACCCUUUAAGGGUCCUGAAGGAACGUUGAAGACGACGACGUUGAUAGGCCGGGUGUGUAAGCGCAGCGAUGCGUUGAGCUAACCGGUACUAAUGAACCGUGAGGCUUAACCUUACAACGCCGAAGCUGUU